CAACAGAUCCACUUUGAAGUUGACUUAUUCGCUUGGCCAAUCGUCGGAAUGUGUACGAGAUACCAUAAGGGCCCAAUAUCUCAAUAG
rnacentral:rRNA from 1 species